rnacentral:rRNA from 1 species
UACGAGGGGGGCAAAUGUUGUUCGGAAUCACUGGGCGUAAAGGGAGCGUAGGCAGGGUUUCUAAGUCAGGUGUUUAAUCCCGGGGCCCAACCCCGGACAGGCACUUGAAACUGGAAAUCUUGAAUAGUGGAGAGGUCAGUGGAAUUGGGGGUGUAGCGGUGGAAUGCGUAGAGAUCCCCAAGAACACCAGUUGCGAAGGCGGCUGACUGGACACAUAUUGACGCUGAGGCUCGAAAGCAUGGGGAGCAAACAGG